GUUGACUUGAACUAAAAUAUCUGAAUCUAGGCUCUUCUAUAUCUGUCAUCUGUAUCACUGAAUCUCUGUGUUUUUAUAUUUGCUUUAUACUCUACAGGAUGGAUGCAUGAUGAAUCAAUUAUGGAGUGUAGAAACUUAUAAUGGAUCUCCCUGCCAAUUUAAGCAUCUUCAUGAUCAUGAGCUCUCUGGUUCCCUAGGAGCAUAGAGACCAAUAAUGGACGCAUUUGAGAUGAUUCUCUGUGGUUGGCUCCAUUGUUAGGAACAGAG